GACGAACGCUGGCGGCGUGCCUAAUACAUGCAAGUAGAACGCUGAAGGAGGAGCUUGCUCUUCUGGAUGAGUUGCGAACGGGUGAGUAACGCGUAGGUAACCUGCCUGGUAGCGGGGGAUAACUAUUGGAAACGAUAGCUAAUACCGCAUAAGAGUAGAUGUUGCAUGACAUUUGUUUAAAAGGUGCAAUUGCAUCACUACCAGAUGGACCUGCGUUGUAUUAGCUAGUUGGUGGGGUAACGGCUCACCAAGGCGACGAUACAUAGCCGAACUGAGAGGGUGGUCAGCCACACUGAGACUGAGACACGGCCCAGACUCCUUCAGGUGGCAGCAGUAGGGAAUCUGCGGCAAUGGACGGAAGUCUGACCAAGCAACGCCGCAUCAGUGAAGAAGAUUUUCGGAUCGUAAAGCUCUGUUGUAAGAGAAGAACGAGUUUGAGAGUGGAAAGUACACACUGUGACGGUAUCUUACCAGAAAGGGACGGCUAACUACGUG
rnacentral:rRNA from 1 species